rnacentral:misc_RNA from 1 species
GUGAGUCAUCGAAUCUUUGAACGCACAUUGCGCCCUAUAGUAUUCUGUAGGGCAUGCCUGUUCGAGCGUCAUUUAACCCCUCAAGCCCAGCUUGGUAUUGGGUGCUUGUCCCGCCUCCUGCGCGGCGACUCACCUCAAAGUCAUUGGCAGCCCGCAAUCGCCGGCCGUGAGCGCAGCACAGACGCGCUUGUGGAACCCGGCGGCUCGGCUCUCCAAAAGCUUAAUUCAACCACAAUUGACCUCGGAUCAGGUAGGGAUACCCGCUGAACUUAAGCAUAUCAAUAAGCGGAGGA